rnacentral:rRNA from 1 species
GAUGAACGCUGGCGGCGUGCCUAAUACAUGCAAGUCGAGCGAACAGACGAGGAGCUUGCUCCUCUGACGUUAGCGGCGGACGGGUGAGUAACACGUGGAUAACCUACCUAUAAGACUGGGAUAACUUCGGGAAACCGGAGCCAAUACCGGAUAAUAUAUUGAACCGCAUGGUUCAAUAGUGAAAGACGGUUUUGCUGUCACUUAUAGAUGGAACCGCGCCGCAUUAGCUAGUUGGUAAGGUAACGGCUUACCAAGGCAACGAUGCGUAGCCGACCUGAGAGGGUGAUCGGCCACACUGGAACUGAGACACGGUCCAGACUCCUACGGGAGGCAGCAGUAGGGAAUCUUCCGCAAUGGGCGAAAGCCUGACGCAGCAACGCCGCGUGAGUGAUGAAGGUCUUCGGAUCGUAAAACUCUGUUAUUAGGGAAGAACAAAUGUGUAAGUAACUAUGCACGUCUUGACGGUACCUAAUCAGAAAGCCACGGCUAACUACGUGCCAGCAGCCGCCGUAA